rnacentral:snRNA from 1 species
UUAGCAGGAUUCAUAGAU